rnacentral:lncRNA from 7 species
GGAUAUGCUGUGCUUUAAAAUGUAUUUUAUUGAUCCUAAAAUUACAAGAUCAAUUAUCGACAUUUUUGUUGAGGAUCAAUCUUGGAUUAAAUGGCAAAAUGAGGAAAAGUUUGUCAUAUGUACUAUGUCCAAAAGCAGAAACAGAUUGCCCUCCUCAUGUGAACAUUCAGAAACUUUUUCUGAUGAUUAAACAUUAUGUCUGAAAUAUAUCUAAGUUAUACCAGCCACUAUAGCGCUUUUUGGUGAACCAAAGAAGUCCUACAGUGAAAUCAAACUUUUGAGUAAUAUCUGUACUACUUAGAUACAAAUUCCCUCAAGCAUCCUUUUUUUCCCCUGUUUUUAGAUUCACAUAUAUUCUGUCAAUUACAAUGCAAAGUGUAAGUAACAGAUUUAAGCAAGGAUGUUGGAGUGUGAAAAGAAUUCAUGUGAAUUGCUAAUAGGCUGGUGGGAAUAAAUUUUUUUGUAAUUAACCUACGCUCCAAUGCUUCCCACACCAGCCUAUUUUCAAUUUCGGCACAGUACAGUUUAUACACUCUAACAUUAUUGCUCAGAAGAUAGAGUGAUGAUUCAGGUUUGCUAAAAAUGGCUUCACCAUACUGCAAUCAUGCUCGUGAAGCUUCGUCUUGAAUCCUGUAGUUAUAAGCUUCUUCUCACUGAGAAAUAAAUACGUGUGGUGUUUUAUCCGAAAAGUUACUCACCAGAUACCUGAAACACUUGUAUACCAUCUUUAAGAAAACAUGGCUUGUUUGGUCAAUUUGUCUGCCAAUUAAUUUUUCCCUGUUUUUUCUUUUCUUUUCUUUUUUAAAUAAAUGUGUAUAAUACCAUAAGUGACCUCCCUUAAUACUGCUGUCCAUA